CGGGCUUACAGCUUAAUAAUUUUUGAUGGUGAUAAUAAUGAUUUACAUUAUUAUCUGUAAACGCCCGCUGAAGGAUGGUGUUUUGAUUUGAAUUAGCCGGGCUGAAGAAGCUGCGUCACAGCGCAGCGCUCUCUACCGGGUCUUUGUUGAACAAUUUUCAGAUUAGUUCUCAGGAGCCUACGCAAGAGCGCUCUACUGCCCACAGAAACUCAAAGAGUGCGCCUAACGGGCGAAAUCCGAACGAAAAAUAUCACAGAUUAGUCCAUCCAUCGCCUAACAUCCAAUCUAGUCAUGUAGUAAUAUAAUCUUUGGCUUAUUUAUUGCUGUUGAUGUUGACAUCAACCAGAGACCCUCUGCAGAAAGUGUCGUGUCUCCCCGAUUCCCCCAAAAAAAUCCCUCUUCCUCACGCUUAAAAGUGAAGUGUUGCACAGCAUGAAUGGUUAGUACUAGGUAUUCAAGAAGUAUUUUCUCUCAUAAUAUCAGUAUUUUGAAAGUCACAUCAAGUUUUCCAAACAGGAAUGUCUCCUGUACUGACUGCUUUGAUGUUCUUUUCAUGUAGACUUCAUCCAAUGUAGAUUACUCAUCCAACGCAUCAUCGGUUAUACCGCAGUGACUUUACAGUGAUCCUGUUACAUUUUGGACAAGUCAGAAGCAAAAUGAAGCUGAAAGAAAUUCAAUACCAUGCUUUAACGAGUCAGAUAAGCAGCAAGCACUGUUGUUCAUGGUCCGAAGACAAUAGUCUAGCCUUUUUAACAAAGAAUGGAAUCCUAAUAGUUGAUUUUCAAUUGAAUUCGUUGAAGCUAACAUCACCAAUUUCAACCAAGCAGAGCCUCAUAGCACCACCCUCAUCACUGCCUACAAAUCAGUUUCAUGAACAAAUUUCGACAUUAAUCCCUAGGAAAGUUACAAGAGAUGAAUUUCAUCAGAUGAUUCUGGACAAGAAUUUAUAUCCUUGUUUUAAUAAAGCGGAAGCCAAUAUUCCAGUCUGCAAGCAGUUCUCAUGGUCUCCCCAAGGACUCAACUAUCGUAAUAGGUGCCUCAUGGUUGUCUUAACCGAUACAGGCUCUUGCAGUAUCUACGUCAGAGGCAAAUUAAAGAUGGUCUUACACAAGAGUAUCUCUAAUGAGUGGGUCAAAAUAUGUGCCAAGCGGUGGGGCAGUGAUACACUAUCUAAUUUUAAUGAUCUUCAAGAGAGAGUCCACAAAAUUAGUAUAAAAGAAAUUGUAUGGAGUCAUGCUGCGGGUGACUGGACCAAAAAAACAGCACUUCUUGUUUGCGCACACGAAAAUAUGGAAAUUAGCCUCUGGAGGGUGGAAACCAUGGCUUACAACAUGAAGGCAGAAGAAAAUAUGUUUCUAGAUCUCCUCAAACCAGAUCUUUCAUCAGAUGUUAAACAUAUGCAGUGGACACGGAUUAGUUGUACACAAAGCAUCCUGUUCAUUUGUUGUUAUGAUGGAACCGUCCAUGGCUUAAAUUUGAAACACGAUGAAAUGCUGCUUUCCUGCAACUUAUCAUCAACGAUCAUUGUGUGGGACAAUGCUGAUCUAAUUCUAGUCUCAAAAAUCAUUACUCUGUCAAGGAGUUUGGAUGGAAAUGAAAUUUUGAUCGCAAUGUUGAAAGGUUUCCAUAUAGUUGUUUCAUCCGUCAAAAUAGAGAGUUCUACUCCUGCUCAGCCAGCAUUGCUCCAUAAAUUCUCCACGCAAAUCACAGGAUUAGACAAAAUUAACGAUGAACAUUUAAUUUGCGGAUUAUGGAAUGGUGCUGUUUAUUUAAUUUCUGUGAAAACCGGUUUAUUAACUGUAGAUGCCAUCGAAAAAGAUAUCUCUUAUGCAAAUUAUUGCUGCCAAGGCCUUGCACUUUCAAGGAAUGGAGCGUUUGCAGUUUUAUGCAACAGCGUUUCUAAGUUUUUUGACCACUCCAACCUGCGGCAAACAGCACAUUUUUACCUAAUGGCAUUACCCAAAGAAAUUAUUGACCCAGCGUUACUAAUCGAAUCCUCUUUGAAGUCAAAAUCAUCAACUGUGAAUUCAAUUGCUGAUUGUUUAGCAUCGUACAGGUUCAGUAUUGUUUCUAAAGAACAAUCAAUACCACAAUACUUGGAAAAGCUGGAUGAUUUAUGUGCUUUGCCGGAUAAUGUGCUCCAAAUUUACCUUCGAUUAUUUCACUUUUUAGCUCCUUGUGAUCCUCUUGAAAGUGAAAAAUGGAGAAAACUGUCGAAUCUCAUCACAACUGUCCUUUAUGCUCGAUUUUUCACUCGCAAGAAAGUUUCCAAUCCUGUGGUGAUUCAAUGGCUGUACAAGACAGUCAAAGCUUUGGAUAGCAGUUUCAAGGAGUUAAUAGCAGCCUGUGAACAGUUGAUCUCCUCAGCUGGUAGUCAGAAAGCUGUAUGUGUGUUCUGUGAUGGAGAUGUUAGCGAUGUAAGCUUUGAUCACUUUAGUUGCAGUUCUGGCCAUAAAGUUCCUAUUUGCGCCUUUAGUUUCCAGCCUUGUUUAGUCAUUCCGUAUUGUGUCUGUGAUGGUUGUGGUGCAAUAGCUCUCCAAGAAUCAGUAUCAUCUAUGGUGGAGCACUGUGUGAUUUGUGGAGGCGACUUUCAGAUAGAUCUCACUGUUUCAGAAACUCAUAUCUAUGAUGGAGAGGCAGAUGAUGCGGAUCAACCGCGUGAAGAGACUGAAGUUGUCCAUGCUGGCACCAAGUUUCAUGCGCAGGCGGAAGAAGAAGAUCUUGACGACCCCUUGGCCGAUCCGCUAUUGUAAGAAGCAUCUUGCUCUGAUACUCCUAGGUCUCAUUUUUUCUAGAGUAUAAAUUGGAAGUAUUUCUGUCAAACGGAACUAUGUGCAUUAAGACAAGAGCCCCGCGACCAUAGGCGUAGCUAGGGGGUCCUGGGGAGGGCCUGGCCCCCCCCAGAAAUCUCGUGCCCCCCCCCCCAGAAAAACGGGAUCCUCCAUUCCUCACCCCCCUCCCGCUCUCUUCACCACGAUAGGUGGUCUCAUGCCCCCCCCCAGAGAAAUUUCCUAGCUACGCCCCUGCCCGCGACCGAUAAGAAUACAUGCAUAACAGGGCUCACAUCAUAAUGUACAUAGUUCCGUUUGACAGAAUUACGUCCAAUUACUCAUCGUAUCUGCGGAUACCUCUUGAAAAAUGACCAGGUUCUCCACAGAUAUUAAGGAUCGAACAAUGUUGUUUGAUUGUGAUCCACAAUUUUUGCUUUUCGACAACGGCGCACAAUGGAACGGGCCAAUGGGAGACGUCGGAUACAAUCUGGAAACUUUGAAAGCUUAUAUUUUCGAAAAUAUGAAAAAAAAAAGUUUAAGAGUGGUUCCAUUGGUUUUUCGUGAACAUCUCUUUCAUAGCACUCCUUUAAAUUGAAUUUGUCAUGAGAUAAACAUCAAAACGUGACAUAAUUAUUAGCCAAAAAUUGCGUGUCCAUCCUCUUCUGUUAGCUCGUUCCACGAGCACUAUAUGGAUCGAGUCAAUAUGAGAGGUCGGACAAAAUUCGGAAACUUAUAUCGACGGUGAAACUACCAAACCACGUAUCUCGUUUGCGGUGUUUAAAAAUCUACGCUCACAUUUUAUUUUUUGAAAUAGACCAAAUCAAUACCAUUUCUUGAAAUUUUCACAGAAUUUUCUCCGCACGAAGAGGAAAAAUCACAGAAAUUUUCAAGACUGGACGUUAAGUAGUUUUUCAUUUAAAAAUAAAGUAUGACAGGAAGUCUGCGACGUCGCAAACCGAGAUACGUGGUUUGGUAGUUUCACCGUCGAUAUGCUUAUAACUCCGUUCACACAAAACUUUGAAGUUCUAAAAGUGGUUCCAUUAGUUUCUUUGAGAAAUUUCCUUCAAGUAGCACCCCUUAAAGUUUAAAAUGUGGCUAAAUAAACAUGAAAAUUUGCAGUUUUACGUAGUCAAAAAUUUCAUGUCCGACCUCUCUAAUUGACAGGAUUCACUGUGCGGCGUUGGUCUCGGAUUGAUGGUAAAACUACACGAACACGUAGCUCUAUUGUCAUCUAUCGAAACUGCGCAGAUCAAAAGUACACCAAAGUAUCCGAAGGGGAAUCACCCUGUACCCACGGAAUGCGUACUGAGAAAAAUAUUUCGUGUUCUUGUUUUACUUUCAGUGAAUAUAGGAGUGAAACACGAACCAACCCAAAUUUUGUGUUAAUCUCGGUAAAGUUUGCGUUCAGUUUAGAACAAGAAACAAUGGAAAAACCGAGAAACCCCAGUUUCAACCGAAGGUUUGGGUUACUUUGUGGUCCCUUCCCCUAGUAACCAAACUUAUGGGUUAUUUUUCCUCUCAGUGCAGCUGACAAAGGCUUGAUAAAUCGAUUUUCUCGAGGAGGUCCAGUCGGAAUUUUCCUAGUGAGCAGCUGUGCAACUUUCGAGCAGAGGAAGUAGGAAGUAAAUUUCCUUACUCUAGGUCACUUUAAUUGAAGCAUUUCGUGCAACGAGAGCGUCUAUGCCAUGCAACGCUGCUAAAAUUGUGCGACUCCGUUGCAAUCCUGAGUCAAUUCCAAUGACCACGCAAAAGUAUUCUUUCCCCCCAUUAUUCUUCGAAUUUUUAGUCAGCUCUCCUGAAAAAUUAUUUUGAAUGUACGAAAGUGUAAAGUAAAAUACAGUCUUAGCUGCACAAUCUUAGCAGCGUUGCAUGGGCAUAGACGGCAUCGUCAAAACAGAUACAUAAAAAUUGAAAGAUUUUGAAGUGCUCAUUUUUAAUCCUCCCCUUAUCAAUGCAACCAUGAAUCGCACCAGAGGGAGCGCGAGGUCAAAAGUUUGGCUAAAGUCGGACCGAUCUUCUCGGCCGCCAUCUUGGAUGACCCAGCGUCGCGCGUUCAAAUGGGUGCUCAGAAUACGCAACUUCGAACUCAUUUUUCGUGGUUUAAUAUUGCUAAAAAAAUUGGGGGAAAAUCCUAUAAACUAUGAGCACUCUCUCGUUUUCAAAAAUGCAUGAAGUGGAAAUCACUGAACAAGCUCAUUGCAUUAGUCGAUAUAAUGGAGACAUCAAGACAUCAUAUGUUUGAAAUAUAUAAUUGGUAGUAUGGAUACGAUUCAUACUUGACUCAUUGAAGGUUUCUAAAAGGACACCAACGUGUAAAAACAGGAAGUAGGCACUUGAGAUUCGUAUUAAAAAUGCCCAUCUCGCAGUUCACGCCUUCGAAAAGUAAAUGAAUAAAAAAUGUGGAAAAAGAAUAAAAAAAUUCGACCAAAGCUCUUUUAUGCUAUACUUUUAAGCAAGACUUGUUUUUUUUUCUUGAAAGGAAAUAAAAAAAAUUUAAAUAAU
rnacentral:lncRNA from 1 species